UGGGUGACCUGCCCUCAGCUCUGGGAUAAGCCUGGGAAACUGGGUCUAAUACUGGAUAUGACUGCGCUUCGCAUGGUGUGUGGUGGAAAGUCCUGGGCUUAAUUGUCGGGGUUCGGCUGGGGAUGGGCCCGCGGCCUAUCAGCUUGUUGGUGGGGUGAUGGCCUACCAAGGCUACGAUCGGUAGCUGGUCUGAGAGGAUGAUCAGCCACAUUGGGA
rnacentral:rRNA from 1 species